CCAGACUCCUACGGGAGGCAGCAGUGAGGAAUAUUGGUCAAUGGGCGGAAGCCUGAACCAGCCAAGUCGCGUGAGGGAAGAAGGCCCUGCGGGUCGCAGACCUCUUUGGACGGGGAGCAAGGCCGCCGACGUGUCGGCGGAAGGAGAGUACCCGGAGAAAAAGCAUCGGCUAACUCCGUGCCAGCAGCCGCGGUAAUACGGAGGAUGCGAGCGUUAUCCGGAUUUAUUGGGUUUAAAGGGUGCGUAGGCGGGCUUUUAAGUCAGCGGUAAAAAUUCGGGGCUCAACCCCGUCCGGCCGUUGAAACUGGGGGCCUUGAGUGGGCGAGAAGAAGGCGGAAUGCGUGGUGUAGCGGUGAAAUGCAUAGAUAUCACGCAGAACCCCGAUUGCGAAG
rnacentral:rRNA from 1 species